rnacentral:rRNA from 1 species
UACGGGGGGUGCAAGCGUUAUUCGGAAUCAUUGGGCGUAAAGGGCGCGUAGGCGGUCUUUUAAGUCAGAUGUGAAAGCCCUCGGCUUAACCGAGGAAGUGCAUUUGAUACUAAGAGACUUGAGUAUGGGAGAGGGAAGCGGAAUUCCUGGUGUAGCGGUGAAAUGCGUAGAGAUCAGGAGGAACACCGGUGGCGAAGGCGGCUUCCUGGACCAAUACUGACGAUGAGGCGCGAAGGAGUGGGGAGCAAACAGG